rnacentral:rRNA from 1 species
GUCGAGGGGUAUAGGUUUUCGGACCUAGAGACCGGCGCACGGGUGCGUAACGCGUAUGCAAUCUACCUUUUACAGAGGGAUAGCCCAGAGAAAUUUGGAUUAAUACCUCAUAGUAUAGUGAUACCGCAUGGUACUACUAUUAAAGUCACAACGGUAAAAGAUGAGCAUGCGUCCCAUUAGCUAGUUGGUAAGGUAACGGCUUACCAAGGCAACGAUGGGUAGGGGUCCUGAGAGGGAGAUCCCCCACACUGGUACUGAGACACGGACCAGACUCCUACGGGAGGCAGCAGUGAGGAAUAUUGGUCAAUGGGCGCAAGCCUGAACCAGCCAUGCCGCGUGCAGGAUGACGGUCCUAUGGAUUGUAAACUGCUUUUGUACAGGAAGAAACAGUUCUACGUGUAGAACCUUGACGGUACUGUAAGAAUAAGGAUCGGCUAACUCCGUGCCAGCAGCCGCGGUAAUACGGAGGAUCCAAGCGUUAUCCGGAAUCAUUGGGUUUAAAGGGUCCGUAGGCGGUUUUGUAAGUCAGUGGUGAAAGCCCAUCGCUCAACGGUGGAACGGCCAUUGAUACUGCAUGACUUGAAUUAUUGGGAAGUAACUAGAAUAUGUAGUGUAGCGGUGAAAUGCUUAGAGAUUACAUGGAAUACCAAUUGCGAAGGCAGGUUACUACCAAUAUAUUGACGCUGAUGGACGAAAGCGUGGGGAGCGAACAGGAUUAGAUACCCUGGUAGUCCACGCCGUNAACGAUGGAUACUAGCUGUNCG